rnacentral:lncRNA from 1 species
UUGCCACCACCUUCUCUUUCAGCAUCGCCAACGUAUGCUCCUAUCAUUAAGGUGAUAGGCAAAGCAUACUGCUAUAGAUGCUUCAACGAGGCACACCCAGAAGAAUCCCAUGGGAAGGAGCACCUGGAAGGUAACAUUUCGGUUAUUUGCAGUUCUCGUUAUCUACGCACGUUAAUGCAGUCAGCUUGGAAAUACGUCAAGUUUCUUCUUGUUCAUAGUUAUCUUGCUUGAACACUGCCUGUUGACAAGAAAAGUGUAUUCAAGCAUACCAUAUUGAAGAUCCAAGAACAUGGCUAGAGGAAAAUUUUAUGCUUGGUUAUCAUUAUUAUCUGCUGUAGUUACAAAAAGAAAACCUGCCAAAGUCUGCACAAGAAGGAUCUGCACAUUUCCUUUGGUACAAGCCAUUUUUAGUGUUUUAGAAGCCUAUACGUUCUUGCUUAAAUAAAAAACACCAAGUUAAAGUUUGCUACCAGGUAGGCCAAAGUACAUUAGACUAAGGAUAUACAUAUAUGGAUAUGCGACUAAUACCAAGAUGAACUGUGAACCCAAAGUGUAGCUAAAUUCAUCGAAGCGAAAAAGUACUUAAAAAUGAAUGAUGUUUUACAAAUUGUUCAUUCUUCCUGAAUAUCUUUCAGUAUUUCAUACUGCAACUUAAUACUUUUUUAUCAUUAUCUGGUGCAGGAGCCAUGGUCAAGGUCACUUGCCAGGCCAAUGACCAGGCAAUAGUGAGAUUUGGCUACACCGAAAGCAAUGGCAAAUACAGUGUGGCCAUUACCGGGUUGCCACUUAGCGGCACCUUUGGGGCUGACUCGUGCAAGGUUGAGCUCCAUGCAGCAGCAGGAGGAUCUGACUGCAAUGUGCCCAUGGAGUUAAAUCUCUCUGGAGUUAGCGUUUACUCAAAGUCCAAUGAAGAAGUGGUUCUCCAAGCCAACCAAGUAAUGGCAUUUGGAUCAAAGAAGACAUUUGCUGGAUGUUCAAAACCUCACAUUCUACCAUCAAUGUAUCCAUAUAAUUCACCGCCACUCCCAUCCCAGCAUUCCUCACCUCCGUCCAACUACAAAUCCCCACCAGUACCAUACCAGCAUUCACCACCUCCUUCUAACAAGUUUCCACCUCCAUCAUAUCAGUAUCCAUCACCUCCACAGAACUUCUACUCUUCGCCGCCACCGUACCAACAGUCCACACCUUCAAACAACUACCAAGCUCCACCAACAUCUAACAAUCAAACACCAACCCAGAAGUAUUUACCACCCCCAUACUACUACAACUCCCCACCUCCGAACAGCCACGUAGCUCCACCACUGCCAUACCUGCAGUCCCCACCUCCGUACAACUACAAGUCGCCUCUUCUACCAUUGUCACCAACGCCUCCUCAACAUUAUAACUCUCCACCUCCAUUUAACUAUGGAUCUUCACCCCCACCUUACCAAUAUUCUCCACCGCUACCUCCAAAACAUCUACAACCAAAUGUUCCUCAUGCUAAUCCGCUACCAGCAUCAAUAUCUCCACAGCCUCUUUACCCCUAUGGCUCUCCACCACCAGCAUCAAUAUCUCCACAGCCUCUUUACCCCUACAGCUCUCCACCACCAUAUCUGAACUCUUACCAAUCCCCACCACCACCGAUUCAGCUUCCUCAUGUAAAAUCGCCACCAGUUUCUUCAACGUCUCCACAGCCUCUGCACCACUACAGCUCUCCACCACCAUCGCUUCUGAACUCGUACCAAUCCCCACCACCACCGAUUCAGCUUCCUCAUGUAAAAUCGCCACCAGUUUCUUCAACGCCUCCACAGCCUCUGCACCACUACAGCUCACCACCACCAUCGCUUCUGAACUCCUACCAAUCCCCCCCACCACCGAGUCACCUGUCAUAAGCAUCAGGAAGGGUUUCUUGAAAUGUAAGUUUCCUAGUGGGAUGUGUGGUAACAGUAUAGUACCAUUCAAACUUUUACAAAAUGCCGUAAUGUGAAGUCUUAAACAUUCACAAGAGCUCAUAUAAACUCAACAUAAAAGAUAACAUUGGUUAGAUGACUGCCAAGUAAUUAGAUUCCCAAAGUAUAUGACUCAAUCCAUCUCUUUUCAGGAUCAGACGUGGGCAGAAUAAACAGAAGAGGUGAAGCCUAUCUCGAGAGGAAGAAGCGCCGCAGCUGGAGUUUUCAACUGAGGAUCUCAGUCUCUAGUAUUAUUUACCCAAGCAUCUAGUGUUGUUUCAGCUUGCACUCCGUUGCCUAGAGCUAUUUCAGCAAUGUAACCAUAAGUUGUAUGAGCUUUUCUUAGUAGUACAUCAGUGUUCUAUUUUCAAUCCAAUAUACGGCGGAGGUUUCCUUUACAUCCCUAAAAUAUUUUCUACUGCGCAUUUCUGUCUCGAGAAACUGGAACAAAAUAGAGAGAUGGUGUGGCUUGACUAGCCACUCCACUUAUUCCAGAUUUGUCCCACCGUUUAUGCUGCGGCAUCUAUCCAAGAUAGAACAAAUCCAGGGGGUACUUCUCCACCGUGAAAUUCUAUGGGUCAAAUUCAAUUCAGUAAUCAAAAGUUAGAAAACUGGGCUUGGAAUGCAGUGCGCUCAUGAGUCACUACCGGUCAGCAUCAUCUCAGGGGAAGCAUAAUAUCACCAGUAAAUCAGCGCAGCGCGGUCCUAGGUAAAAUAAUAAAAUCACAGAAUCCAUCACCCAACCACGCGCCGCCGCAAGGCACAUUUCUUCAGUGGGUCGCGGCGGGUUUUCAGAGAAAUUUCGGCUGCUGAACGGGUGUAAACAAUAACAGCAGCGCUCGACUGCUCAACGAAAGUAGUUUAUCUUCCUGCCGGAUCUCGCGGUAUGUAUCUACCAUGUAUUGUUCGUGUACAGUCGAUGAAGGGAGGAGACCUACGCAGAUAGUGCCAAGAGGAACGAGUAACCCGGGGACUGACCUGCUGCCUCCAGUAACCCACCGCAGAUUGAUGACGGCGACCACGGAAGCGGGUCUCUGAGCGAGAAUUUAUCGCCGGAGUUGGCGGACGGCCGGUGGUCCGCUCCGGCCAGGGUCUGCGGGUAGCAGAGCCUGGCGUGGCGGCGUCGGGGACGGAGAGAAG